rnacentral:rRNA from 1 species
ACGCUCGACACCUACGGGAGGCAGCAGUGGGGAAUAUUGCACAAUGGGGGAAACCCUGAUGCAGCGACGCCGCGUGAGCGAAGAAGUAUUUCGGUAUGUAAAGCUCUAUCAGCAGGGAANAAACUGACGGUACCUGACUAAGAAGCACCGGCUAAAUACGUGCCAGCAGCCACGGUAAUCUGAGCGGGCUGGCAAGGC